GACGAACGCUGACGGCGUGCUUUAGACAUGCAAGUCGAACGCGAAAGCCCUUCGGGGUUAGUAGAGUGGCGAACGGGUGAGUAACACGUGGGCAAUCUGCCCCUCGCAGGGGGACAACCGGAGGAAACUCCGGCUAAUACCCCGUACGCUUGCGGAACCGCAUGGUACCGCAAGGAAAGGUAGCUUCGGCCAUCCGGGCGAGGGAUGAGCCCGCGGUGCAUUAGCUAGUUGGUGGGGUAACGCCCACCAAGGCGACGAUGCAUAGCUGGUCUGAGAGGAUGAUCAGCCACACUGGGACUGAGACACGGCCCAGACUCCUACGGGAGGCAGCAGUCGGGAAUCUUGCGCAAUGGGCGAAAGCCUGACGCAGCAACACCGUGUGAGCGACGAAGGCCU
rnacentral:rRNA from 1 species